AUGUGCUCAUCAUGUUCAUGUGUGUGUGCGCCCACUGCCCACCAUGCCGCAGCACGCACGAGGACGAUCGUCUGCCGAAUCGUCGGCGGUGCUCACCGACGGGUGGUCCCCCCGACGGACGGACGGACGGACGGGCUACUUCUUCUGUCCACGUGCCGACCACCGCCGCGGCGAUCCCGCUCUGCUGCAGCUGCCCCUCGACGGCAUCGCCAGCCCAGCCCCUCUGGCCCGCUGCGUCUGGGCCCCACCGCCGCAUGCAGCCACGCCCGAGCUUCGCGACACCGAACAGUUCCGUGCUCGGCUGACAGGUGGGCCCGCUCCCGUGCGCUGCUCCGCCACCUCUCCGUCACGGAGCAGUGGAGAUGCCAACGACGGCCACCGGCGUGCCACGGGCGACGCGGCCCCACCCUGUGA
rnacentral:rRNA from 1 species